CGUGGGCUAAGUUGCACCAAGACUUAAACCCCAUCACUUCCUCUUCUCUUAAUCCGAGUUUCUCCGGCAUCAUUCGACACCAAAACCUAUGCAGCCAGCGAUGUCUUCAUCAUAAGCAACAAGUUAACCAAGCCUCAAUUUGGAACCCACUGCUUACCAAGAAAGGUAGUGAAGAAACGUUUGAAUGUUUGAUGGCUUUCAGGCUUGAAUUUGAAAGAUGACUCACAAAAGGGUUAACCCAGAUCAAAUCCAAUUGAGAAUUAAUCCAAUCCACGCUGAUGUUGAUGAGGAGAUCACCAGUAUUCGAUCCCAAGUCAGAAAAUUGAGAAACCCACUUUGCCCAAAUAACAAUGGAGUUCACAUCUAUACUCUGAUCCAAUCCAAAUGGGAAAAGCUGUUCUUCAAAAGGUACCGUGUCUCAGACUCAUGGGCUUGCAAUGAUAGUUGUCAAAGACCAAUUAUAAUGUGAUACUUCAGUGCAAACUUGAGAGAGAUGCACCUUGCGUAACCGAGUUUUGGUCGAAACAAUUAGAAAGCAGUUCGAGUAGUGGGUUUCAGUGGGUACAUUUGUUUUCCCAUACUCUUGAUAUAUAAUUGUGCAUCCUUGCUAGGACUGUCGAGAGCAAAAUAUUUAUCUCAGAUAUACUGCAUGUAUAUCAACAAUGGAAACUUGAAGCAUUGACUUCAUGAAGUCUUGCUUAUUUACACAAGGUCAUUGAACCAAAGGUGACACAUCGAAACAUUAAGCAAACGCUCCUUCUUGGCCACUAACCACUUUGUAAAGGAAUGGAAAUUUUCUGGUGGUUUACUUUGAUGAUAUCCUAAUUUUCCAAUCUCCCUUAUGCCUAGGACGUUGUCUGGGCCAAGAGCCAUAGUUGAUCAGAAAGAGUUGAUACUAACAUUGGUUUGCCAAAUCAAGUUUGAAUUCAAGGAUGCAGCUGUUGGAAAGCUAAAAAAGGAAACUGACUGUAUCCAAACGGGAGCAAGACGAUAGUAUGUCAGUGCGUUUGUGCUUAAAGGAAUGAGUUUUUUUGUUGUUUGAAUACACUAAGAUCUAAUCGAUGGCCAAUUUGUUGACUCUGCAUCAGAUUGAUCAGUCUUUCCAAAUUCACCGUAGUUAUGGAAGCAUGCUCGAGGGUGAGGCUGAUGAACUCAAGUGCGGUUUUGGAAUGGGCGGUGGGAGACCCAUCAAGAGCAGAUUAGAGGUAUAGACCAUGCUAGAGAUGUGUCUCUCAAUUUAUAUUAGAUCUGUUGUAAUGUCAAGAAAGCGUGCAGGGUUUGUUAAUUGAAUUGUAUAAGAUUAAUGAUUCAUUUCAAACAAUUCCUAUUGUUAUUAAGAGUGAGUGAAUUAAAAUGUUAUUUAUCUACAUGAGCACGUUACUAACCGCAGCUCACAACGUAGAUAAAUAUUUUCGUUACAAUAAUUUUUCAUCAUUAACAACCUAUCUAGAAUGUAUUACUACAAUUAGAUCAAUUGACAAUAAAACCCCGCGGCAUCGCGCGGGUUCCUUUUCUAGUU